rnacentral:rRNA from 1 species
AUUGAACGCUAGCGGCAGGCCUAACACAUGCAAGUCGAACGAGUGGCGGACGGGUGAGUAAUGUCUGGGAAACUGCCUGAUGGAGGGGGAUAACUACUGGAAACGGUAGCUAAUACUGCAUACCAUCAGAUGUGCCCAGAUGGGAUUAGCUUGGUGGUGGGGUAACGGUUCACAAAGGCGACGAUCCCUACCUGGACUGAGAGGAUGACCAGCCACACUGGAACUGAGACACGGGCUAGACGCCUACGAGAGGCAGCAGUGGGAAGAUUGCACAAUGGGCGCAAGCCUGAUGCAGCCAUGCCGCGUGUAUGAAGAAGGCCUUCGGGUUGUAAAGUACUUUCAGCGGGGAGGCGUUACCCGCAGAAGAAGCACCGGCUAACUCCGUGCCAGCAGCCGCGGUAAUAC